CGGGCAUUAGCGCAGUUGGUAGCGCGCUUGGUUUGGGACCAAGAUGUCGCCUGUUCAAGUCAGGCAUGCCCGA
rnacentral:tRNA from 1 species